CCUACGGGGGGCAGCAGUGAGGAAUAUUGGUCAAUGGGCUUACGCCUGAACCAGCCAAGUCGCGUGCGGGAAGACUGCCCUAUGGGUUGUAAACCUCUUUUGUCAGGGAGCAACGCCCGCUACGUGUGGCCGGCCUCAGAGUCCCUGCAGAAAAAGCCUCGGCUAACUCCGUGCCAGCAGCCGCGGUAAUCCGGAGGAUGCGAGCGUUAUCCGGAUUGAUUGGGUUUAAGGGGUGCGUAGGCGGCAUGCCAAGUCAGCGGUAAAAUCGCGGGGCUCAACCUCGCUCCGCCGUUGAAACUGGCGUUCUUGAGUGGGCGAGAAGCAGGCGGAAUGCGUGGUGUAGCGGUGAAAUGCAUAGAUAUCACGAAGAACUCCGAUUGCGAAGGCAGCAUACCGGAGCGCAACUGACGCUGAAGCACGAAAGCGUGGGUAUCGAACAGGAUUAGAUACCCUUGUAGUC
rnacentral:rRNA from 1 species